rnacentral:lncRNA from 1 species
UUUAAAAUGCACUAUGCUUUUAGUAAUGAAAAGGAUCUAUGGUUAAAAAACAGUUAAACCAUUUAUAUAUAUACGUAUUUAAUUAUUUAUUAAAUUCCCAUGAUCUUGUAAGGUCCCUGUUGUGGCUGCUUGGGCUGUAUUUGUUGCCAGCCACUGUGUAAUUUCUGCCUUCUGGUUUUAAACUAAAUUAAGAUGCUGGGAAGUAAAAACAAGAACGUCAAGAUGGGUUCUGAAACUGCCUCUAUUUUGUUUUUAACUGUAGUCAUAAUUUAAGUAUCUAUGAAAUGGAAAAAAAGAGGAAAUUAUAUUACCUUAUUAAGAGACAACGUCUCUUCAGCUCGUUUAACAUGGAAUUUUGAGGCUUGACAGAAUAAUUGAUUCAGGUGUCUAGUAAUAGUUCAGUGCAGUCUUUCACUUCUAGGUGACAUAGAUGAAUCAAACCUAGAUCCAUUGUAAUCUCCAGUUUUUGCAGUUUCAAGGCUACUUGAUCAUCUUAGUUCAGAUCCUUUUAUUCAAAUAACUUCUGGCAGCAGCAUUGACUAAUGAAAAUGUAUCAGGCCUGCUGGUUUCUGCAAAUCAAACCUGAGGUACUGGAGACAGGAGUAAGUGAAGAAGCCUGGUUUUUUACAGGCUGUAUUUUACCAAGAAAAUUAUGAAUGUUAUGGGAUUUUAUGUAAGUGUACAUGAGCAAAAGAGACAAAGAUAGAAACAGAGAUGGUACGUUGGGAUGUUGAAGCAGAGGACAGAAGACUGAGAAACCAUAAAAGUGAUGUGAAAGUUGAAUUUGAAAGGGAUGACAGAGGUUAAAAUCAAAUGCAUUAAAGGACAAUGAGAGGGUUGUAGUGAGUGGUAAAGCCAGUGGGAGAUAAGACUGUUACGGAGUUCAUUUGAGAGACCUUGACAAAACCACAGAGAAGGCAGAGAAGCAAGUUUUGGAAGACCAAGUAGAACUGGAAUCAGCUAGGAUACUGUCAAGGGUGGUUUAGAGUAAAACAAGUUGUUUUCAAAGGAACAUAACAAUAGAUAGGAAAA